rnacentral:rRNA from 1 species
UACGGAAUGUGCAAACGUUAUUCGGAAUCACUGGGCUUAAAGAGUCCGUAGGCGGCAUGUUAGGUGAGGUGUGAAAUCCCCCGGCUCAACCGAGGAAUUGCGCUUCAAACCGGCGUGCUUGAGGAAGAUAGAGGUGGGCGGAACUGAUGGUGGGAGCGGUGAAAUGCGUUGAUAUCAUCAGGAACACCGGAGGCGAAGGCGGCCCACUGGGUCUUUUCUGACGCUGAGGGACGGAAAGCUAGGGGAGCGAACGGG